rnacentral:rRNA from 1 species
UACGGGGGGAGCAAGCGUUGUUCGGAUUUACUGGGCGUAAAGGGCGCGUAGGCGGUCAGCACAAGUCAGUUGUGAAAUCUCCGGGGCUUAACUCGGAAAGGUCAACUGAUACUGUGCGACUAGAGUGCGGAAGGGGCAACUGGAAUUCUCGGUGGUAGCGGAUGAAAUGCGUAGAUAUCGAGAGGAACACCUGCGGCGAAGGCGGGUGCUGGGCCGACACUGACGCUGAUGCGCGAAAGCCAGGGGAGCGAACGGG